UAGUGCAUUAUGAAGAGAGAGGCUUUUCUACUAGAUAAGAAUUGCUUUGUCUUAUGAAAUGAAAUUUUCUAACAUAUACAUAACGAUGUGAGAGGUGUGGGGGAGCACUGAGCACAUCAUGGAGGACGAAUAAGUUAAUAAUUACUUAAUUAGGACUAUAAAAAGAUCCUUCCCAUUCUUCUUUUAAUUUUUGAAAAUUCGGUAUUCGGUUUAAAGAUCAACUAAUCUGAUCAGGAGUCCAAUCUUAUUGUUUACUUGUAGCGGGGCUAUUUAAAGUCAAAAUAUUUUUAUCCCUUUCUUUU
rnacentral:lncRNA from 1 species